CUUACACAUGCAAGUCAACUUGAAUUUGGUUUUUUUAACUUAGAUUUGGGUGGCGGACGGGUGAGUAACGCGUAAAGAACUUGCCUCACAGCUAGGGACAACAUUUGGAAACGAAUGCUAAUACCUGAUAUUAUGAUUUUAAGGCAUCUUAGAAUUAUGAAAGCUAUACGCGCUGUGAGAGAGCUUUGCGUCCCAUUAGCUAGUUGGAGAGGUAACGGCUCACCAAGGCGAUGAUGGGUAGCCGGCCUGAGAGGGUGAACGGCCACAAGGGGACUGAGACACGGCCCUUACUCCUACGGGAGGCAGCAGUGGGGAAUAUUGGACAAUGGACCAAGAGUCUGAUCCAGCAAUUCUGUGUGCACGAUGACGUUUUUCGGAAUGUAAAGUGCUUUCAGUUGGGAAGAAAAAAAUGACGGUACCAACAGAAGAAGUGACGGCUAAAUACGUGCCAGCAGCCGCGGUAAUACGUAUGUCACGAGCGUUAUCCGGAUUUAUUGGGCGUAAAGCGCGUCUAGGUGGUUAUGUAAGUCUGAUGUGAAAAUGCAGGGCUCAACUCUGUAUUGCGUUGGAAACUGUGUAACUAGAGUACUGGAGAGGUAAGCGGAACUACAAGUGUAGAGGUGAAAUUCGUAGAUAUUUGUAGGAAUGCCGAUGGGGAAGCCAGCUUACUGGACAGAUACUGACGCUGAAGCGCGAAAGCGUGGGUAGCAAACAGGAUUAGAUACCCUGGUAGUCCACGCCGUAAACGAUGAUUACUAGGUGUUGGGGGUCGAACCUCAGCGCCCAAGCAAACGCGAUAAGUAAUCCGCCUGGGGAGUACGUACGCAAGUAUGAAACUCAAAGGAAUUGACGGGGACCCGCACAAGCGGUGGAGCAUGUGGUUUAAUUCGACGCAACGCGAGGAACCU
rnacentral:rRNA from 1 species